rnacentral:rRNA from 1 species
UACGUAGGGGGCUAGCGUUGUCCGGAUUUAUUGGGCGUAAAGAGCGUGUAGGCGGCCUGACAGGUCUGCUGUGAAAACUCGAGGCUCAACCUCGAGAUGUCGGCGGAAACCGUCUGGCUAGAGUCCGGAAGAGGAGAGUGGAAUUCCUGGUGUAGCGGUGAAAUGCGCAGAUUUCAGGAAGAACACCUAUGGCGAAGGCAGCUCUCUGGGACGGUACUGACGCUGAGACGCGAAAGCGUGGGGAGCGAACAGG